rnacentral:rRNA from 1 species
UUACGGCUAUAUCACGUUGAAAUACCAGUUCCUAAACGAUCGUCGAAGUUAAGCAACGUCGAGCCUGGUCAUUACCUAGAUGGGUGACCGCUUGGGAAUACCUGGUG